CAGUCGCCGCGGUAAUACGAAGGGUGCAAGCGUUACUCGGAAUUACUGGGCGUAAAGCGCACGCAGGCGGUUUGUUAAGUCAGAUGUGAAAUCCCCGAGCUUAACUUGGGAACUGCAUUUGAAACUGGCAAGCUAGAGUCUUGUAGAGGGGGGUAGAAUUCCAGGUGUAGCGGUGAAAUGCGUAGAGAUCUGGAGGAAUACCGGUGGCGAAGGCGGCCCCCUGGACAAAGACUGACGCUCAGGUGCGAAAGCGUGGGGAGCAAACAGGAUUAGAUACCCGCGUAGUCCCUGUCUCUUAUAA
rnacentral:rRNA from 1 species